CAGCCCACAGGCUAUAGUUUGAGGACCUCUGCCUUAGAGCUAUUUACCUACUUAACAGAACCAGCCACAGCUGCACAUUAUCCACAUCAGCCAACCCACCGCCCCUGAAGCCAGCCCGCAGCUGUAUGUUAUCAAUGUUAAUUAACCUGCCUUCAUUCCUCUAUAAUUCCUCUACAAUAAAAUAUAUAUACUGUCACAGUUUGGGAAACUAACAGUUAUUUUUUUGAAAUUAGAAGCUUUUUGUUUGCUUUUCAUUACAGCUGAUGCUAUAGUCAAACUGUAAACUGAUGUUAGGGAAAUGCAAUAGGGUUUUCACUGUUCUAGUCAAGAUUUGUCUGAUGUGAUACUGGACCUGAGGGAAUAACAUAGCUCACGCCUAAAUGGAGCUUCCAGUUUCAUAAACAGCUAAUUGAGUGAAGUGCAUUUAUCUUAUGUUUGAAACUAAGACUGCUAUGAGUGCAUCAGGUUGGGGGGGCAGAGAAUUUCUUGAAUUCAGUAUCCAGUUCUACUAAUUUGCUAGUAUGCUAGAAGAUAAUUCAGCCUAUGUUCAUACAAGUAUUUCUGCUAAGUACAGUGAUUUUUUUUUUUUUUCUGAAUAUUAGAAUAAGAAAGAAACAAGAUUCUCUGUGCUUCUCGGAAAUUUUAUAAAGUCAAUCCCUGAAUAAAUUCUCUCUGGACACUAAUACAAUAUGAUACACCACCUCUCGUAAGAGGAUGAGCAAACAUUUUCAUUAGUUUGUUUAUUACAGGACUGUAGACAUGUUGGUCAGAGAGAACUUUGGAGGCCAUGUUUUCCAGCUGUGCACUUCAAGUAGGACUGUUACUAACCCUGGAUCAGAUCAGCCUCUGCAUCCUCCACCUGCUAUGGUUCCAGCACUGUGUUAUCCUGCCCUUAUAGAGAGGGUUUUCCUGAUGCCCAGUGUGAACCUUCCAAGCCACUGCUUCUGGCCAUUGCUUACUGAUCUGUCAUCUCACAGUAACAAAGAGCUUAGCUCCAUGCUUUGACCUCGUCUUCACCAAAGUAAACAAGACCAGCUCUCUAAAGUCUCUCUGAAGGUCGUGUUGUAGGCCACUGAUCGCUUGUGCCUGCUCCUGUGUUUCAGUGUCCCUUUUGAAAUACCCAAAAGUGUGUCCCAGGGCCAGUCUCUCCAGCACUGAGUAGAGGAGGAAUAGCAACUUCCCUCAAUCUGCUGGCUACACUCCUCCUUUAAUAUAGUAACCCGUUUGCCUCAUUGAUGGCAGGAACACCUUCAUCCAGUUAUCAUCCAGAAUCAAACUCCAGACUUGGUCACCACCUUCUUAAAUCUCUACAAGUGUAUGACUUCAUUUGAUUUCACCUGCCUCCUGCAAAGACAAAGAAAAAGAAAUACUGGAAUGCACGUAUUCAUUGGUAAGAGGUUACACUUUUUUGUGGGGUUUAUGCCAAGUGACCACCAUGUUAUAGAUCACUGUAAAGCGUUGUUGUGUAGUAGAGUCAGUGGGCUAUGGAGUCUCCCACACUGCAGGUAUGGAAAAGGUAGUUAGACAAACAGAAUAGCGUAGAUAUCAUUGAUCCUUGAUAUCAUUGAGAAGUGAUAGGCUAGGUGGCCACUUGAGGUUCCUUCUUCUCCAUCCAUUCUACCAAUUCUUCUAGAAUCUAUAGAUUAUAUAAUCUGUAAUCUAAGGAAAAUAAUUAUUAUACAAACAUGUGGUAGAGGAGAAGCUGAAUCAGCAAGGCAAGAAUGAAACAGCAAGGCAAGAAUGAAACAGCAAGGCAAGAAUGGCAAUGAGAAUACAAAAUGGCUAAAGGAAAGAAAGUAUGCUACCAGAGUUCAACAGGCUGAGCAGACAUUCACAAGAAAAAAUGUGACUGUUUGUUUUUUUCUUUAGAGGCAUAUGGAAGGUAACAAGAAAAACCAUGGAAAACAAAAAACAUGUAUUAUCCAAGUUGCAUUAAUAAUUCAUUUUACCAGCCAAAUUCAGGUUUCUUUAAAAAAUAUUAUAGUAUAUUACGCCAUAUUGAAUUAAAUUUAUAAAAUGAAAGGGAGAAACACUAGAACAGCUGUCAGGUGGAUUCAUCAUGAAUCUUAGGUUGUCAUAUUUAACCAUAUGUUCCAAGUUAGAUGGAAGUAUAAUGAGAGCAUAGAAGGAUUUAGUAAUGAUAGCUAUAGUGAAAACAGUGCUGAAUGAGGCUGAUAACUGGGUGUUUUACUGAAGCGUACCACACUGCUGAGACUUCAGUGUGAGCAUGUUUCAGGGAGAACAAGAACAAAAGUACAUAGUAAUAUAUGCAGUUGCUGGAGUUACUACGUAAGUAUUCACUCAUUAAAAUAAUACAGAAAAACAACUAAUUGGUAUUAUAUUGGAAUGCAAGAAGAUGAAUAAACAGUUGCUGUGGAAAGGAUGCCUCCCUAAAAAGUCCAAGCAUGAGCCUAUGCAUACCCUCUGCAAGAGACCUCAGAAUAUUCAUUAAAGGAGUCCCAAAGCAUGAAAUAUUUUGAAGUACUUAAAAGUUUGGACCUCAUAAUUGUUCACAGGAUAUUUUAUUACAUUUGUGCUUUUCAAGGCAAAUUUGGAGCAUGUAGUUUGCAGCUGCUAGACUGUAUUCAGAGGUCUGCAAGGCGAGUACAAUGUCCAGAAGCUUGACAUAUGUCUUGUCUCUUCUUUGUUUCCUUCCUCCACAACUGAUCGUAAACCUAAUACUUCAAAGAGAUGGUACACGAAGGUGGAAAGGACGAUUUUAGCGAAAAAAAAAGGUCAUUUUGCCUGCAUUGUUCAAAGAAAGGUCAAAAGAUUCUGACCAGAUACAGUUACAUGAAGAUAUAUCAAGACAAGAAAACAUAUUUUUUUAAACUCAGAUUUGCAAACCACAUCACACUAAAUUUUCAACACAGUGAUUGUCCCAGGUAUGGGAUUCACCUCCAGACUACCAUAUCUGCCUGUGAGACAAGUGAUGACCUCUAUCAUCUAGUUGAUAAAUGUCUAGUCAAUGCAGGCAGUGAAGAGCAGUGAGAUCUUUAGCUGUCUGCUUUAUCUUUGCAUGCACACAAUAUGAUUAUUUGAAUAGCUUCCAAACAUUAUUAAGUUAAUUGACCAAGUGUUCAAUGGAGUUAUCUACAUAUGGACAUGUAGUAAUGUAUGAGAUACCAGAGGAUGUCCAAAACAUCCUCUUGAGGAUGGCAGGUAAUACAGAAAUUUGUAGGGGACGCACACCCUGCUGGAGCAGUAUCUGGAAACAAGGCAAAAUACUCUGAGGCAUGGCAGUUGGCACUGACUACCUCUGUGCAACCCAUUUAACAGAGUCCUGCAUUUCCACUGAUUAUGAGGGCAGCCUAGACACGGCUCACGUGUAGGCACUGAGAGUGAACGCCUAAGUGUUAGUGGCUACAAUAAGAAAACAAAUCCUAUUGUAGACUUCUAAAUUGACAACUCUGCAAUUCUGAAAACUUCAUGGCACCUGCCACCUUUGUCAAAAGUCCCCAAAGGUCUGUAAAUCUACGUGUCUAAGAGGCUGAAAAAUAUCCAGAUCCUGAGUCAAAAGGAUAACAAAGCAUGUCUUUUACUAAGAGUUAAUACAGGGAAGAUUAAGGCAGUAAUACCCAUGAAGUGGAAAAUGCUGGGAGAGGGGCUGUCAAAAGUAGCCUCGGCCUUUUCAGCACAGCAUCUUUUUCUCAGAAAACACAAAAAGUUUCUUUGCAGUUACUUGAUAAAUUUCUGAUCUUUGUGCUAUACAACUGGCAUUUCAUUAUUUCUCUGUUGACUUCAGUAGGAGCUGCAGGACUUCCAGAGUUAUUGAAAAUGAGGCAAUGGAUAUAAAUUCUAAAUAUGGAUUUAGGAAUCUCACAGUCUUUCUACAGGUGUUAGCCUUUAUGCGUGCCCACUCUGUAUAGGAAAUGGCUAAGUGUAUUUUGUUAUACCGUCUUGUUCUUUAGUCAUGAAAAGAAUUUAUUGUCUGAGCAUUUAAUGUUGUCUUUUAUUACAGACACUAAGUGUUUAUAUAACUUGGUAUUCAAGUAACCUGUACAAAGUUGUACAAGGACAUGAAAAAUUUAUGUGCAAGUUACUGGUUUUAUGUCAAGAAAAUAAUUUCUAGCUGUUAAAAGCAGAACACAAUAAUUGAUAUUCACAGGGGAAAAACAGGUAAGUUACCCUCUUUCUCACAGCAAGAAGCCUCUACACAGAAGUCAGGCCCAGAACUUUUUAUUGUCUCUGCUGGCAAAAACUGGAUUGUCAUUUUAAUGGAGUUAGGUAGGAUCUUUCUUUAGGAAAUAAUUUUUGUGUUGGUUUUUUUCCCCCCAAGAAAAUUGCACAGGCAUUCAAAUGAUCUCUCUGUUGUCUUCUGACAGUGUUAUUUAGUGUCAUCCUCCAUAAUAUAAUGCUCAAAGCACAGUGGUGUUCAAACAGUCAUUAUUUGGCUAAGGUGAGCUGUGUUUUAUAAGAUACACAGUAAUUUUCUUAAAUGGCAUGAUGCUUCAGUUCAGCGUAGUGUAACCUAGUGCCUUCUAUAACAAGUGUAGCACAACGCGUUUUUCUAGCAUGCUAGUAUGAUUGGCAGUGAUGACACUGACAAGCAUUCUAAGCUUCUUUUUGUUCCAGAUCUCCCUUUGGAUUCCUACUCAUGUAAUUUAUGUGUUUAAAUCCAAAAGAAAGAGAAAUAGCAGAGAAGAGUGAAAAACAAAGUCACAGUGGAGAAAGAACAUGCCUGGGACACCUUUUGCCAUCAAGCAUGAUCAUCCCAUGCUGUCAAGGAUAGCAUUUAUCUAAGCCUUACAGUAGAUUGGCAAAUAGAGUGGUUACUCCAAUAGCAUGUUGGGAUUUUGCAUGUUUUUUUAAAAAAUGGAGAUUCAGUUCAUUAAAAAGUAUGAAAUAUUA